rnacentral:rRNA from 1 species
UACGUAGGGUGCAAGCGUUGUCCGGAAUUAUUGGGCGUAAAGGGCUCGUAGGCGGUCCAUCGCGUCGGGAGUGAAAAGCUGGGGCUUAACCCCAGUCCUGCUUUCGAUACGGGUGGACUAGAGGUAGGCAGGGGAGAACGGAAUUCCUGGUGUAGCGGUGAAAUGCGCAGAUAUCAGGAGGAACACCGGUGGCGAAGGCGGUUCUCUGGGCCUUACCUGACACUGAGGAGCGGAAAAGC